CGGGACGGGUGAGUAACACGUGAGCAACCUGCCUUUCAGAGGGGAAUAACGUUUGGAAACGAACGCUAAUACCGCAUAACAUUGGGAUAUGGCAUCAUGACCCAAUCAAAGAUUUAUCGCUGAAAGAUGGGCUCGCGCCCGAUUAGGUAGUUGGUGAGAUAAUAGCCCACCAAGCCGACGAUCGGUAGCCGGACUGAGAGGUUGAACGGCCACAUUGGGACUGAGACACGGCCCAGACUCCUACGGAAGGCAGCAG
rnacentral:rRNA from 1 species